UACGGAGGGUGCGAGCGUUGUCCGGAAUCAUUGGGCGUAAAGGGCGCGUAGGCGGCCCUGUCAGUCAGGCGUGAAAGCCCCGGGCUCAACCUGGGAACUGCGCUUGAUACUGCAGGGCUUGAGUUCCGGAGAGGAUGGUGGAAUUCCCAGUGUAGAGGUGAAAUUCGUUGAUAUUGGGAAGAACACCGGUGGCGAAGGCGGCCAUCUGGACGGACACUGACGCUGAGGCGCGAAAGCGUGGGGAGCAAACAGG
rnacentral:rRNA from 1 species